rnacentral:misc_RNA from 1 species
AUUUACUAAUAAGUUAUUUUUUUAUGUGUUAAAAAUCACCAAAAGAAUAAAAGUAAAAAUUCCUUAUGCGAAAAACCAUUAAGUAACUUAAUGACUUUUCGUAUAAAAGAUUUAUGCGCGUUAAAAUAUCACGGCAUUUCAAAAUAUCAUCAACAGCAGUUAGUGAUCUCUCGCCUAACUGGCGCCAUUGUUUACGUGUACUUCAAUCGAUACGCACCUGAUUAUUUUUUGCCGUAAGAUAGAUAUAUUUGCUUGAUGUAAAGACUUAAAAACUUAAUAAUAUAAGAGUACGACUUAGUUUUAAGUGAACCACAUUGAGAAUGAUGAGUUCUCGAAGCUUAAAGCUUCUAAAACUAGCUUUGAAUAAGGAAAAAAACGAUCAAAUCCCUAUACAUGUCACGGCAGAUAGUGAGAACAGUGAAAGUGUAUGUUCAGCCCCCGCUUCCAGUAACGUUGAAGUAAAGUGUUCUUAAUUGCAGAAUCCAUUAAUUGUUGAGGAAAUAGCUUCCUGCAGCAGUACAAUUAGGCCUUUAGGAGAUUUAAAUAGAGAACGUAGAAGCCCACUGUCAAUUGCUGUACUUGACGAUUUUGAUGAAUCAGACGAUGACUCUGUAGCAGAGGUACCUAUGGGUACCAGCUGCUGAUGAGACUAGCAGUGAGGAGGAACAAGAAAGUUUACAAGGAAGGGAAGAGGAAGAAGAAAAUUGUUUCGAUGGCGUAAAGACCCCCCGAAAAAAAAAUGUCGGUGGACACAAGCUUAUCCAUCUAAUUGGCGAAAAAAUAUUGAAAAAAAAAAAGAUGUUUAAUUGUCAGCCUUUCAAAGCAAAGAAAAAAUCUAGACCAGCCAAGUAACCCAAGCCAGUUAACUGCGACACUUGUAAAUAUAAGUGCAGCACUAUUUUUAGUGAAGAAGACAGGCUUAACAUUUGCAAAUACUUUUGGAGUCUCUCCAGUUAUACGAGGCAAAAUGAUUUUAUUUUAAAAUUUAUAAAACGAAAAAAACCAGAGAGACCUGGAACAAAUGUGCCACUAGCCAAAAAACGCAAAUGUAGUAGAGCAUGCUAUUUUAUGAAAAAUUAAACAGAGCACAUGGUAUGUCAAACAUUUUUCCAAAAAACAUUAAGCAUAAGUAAUGGCCCAAUAAAUAAAGCCUUUGAAGGUUGUAAAGAUGGGGUUUUCGCACCGGAUGAUAGGAGGCGCAAGAAACCGCCUUAUAAUAAAACUAAAGACGAAGAUGUUGCCUUUGUAAAACAGCACAUUAAUAUGUUUCCUGUAAUGGAGUCACACUACUGCAGAAAAACUACAAAAAGACUUUAUUUGGACUCAAAGUUAUCCAUCAGCAAAAUGUUUUUUUAUACAAAUAAUUUUGCGUGGAAAAUAAUCGAACACCCGUGACUCACUCAGUGUACAGAAAAAUCUUUUGCACGUCAUUUAACCUGUAAUUUUUUGUGCCGAAAAAAGACCAGUGUUCCUUGUGUAAUAAAUUUUCAGAGGCCAAAAAGACAACAACACUUACUGAGCAACUUGAGUCUGAUUACAAUAAUCAUAUUGUUCAAAAAAAAUGAAACUAAUUUAGCUAAAGAACAAGACAAGGUGCUGUCAAAUGAAGAUGCUACAUUCCUUUCUGCUACAUUCGACUUACAGAGUGUUCUUUAAAUACCGUCGGGUGAGGAAUCGCUGUUAUACUACUCAAGGAAACUCUGUAUCUACAGCUCGUGUAUUUACGAAUCCAGACUACCUAAUGAGGCGUACUGCAUUGUCUGGUCUAAAGUAAAUGAAAAGAGAGGAAGUAAUGAAAUCGGGACUGCCCUGAUGCAGUGGAUUUUAAAACUUCCUGAGAAUAUUAAAGAAAUCUCAUUAUUUUCGGAUACGUGCGGAGACCAAAAUAGGAAUCAGCACAUCUCUGCAUUACUACUCUUCCUUACACAGACCACUCACAUAGAUGUCAUUGAACAAAAAUUUUUGGAGUCAGGACACUCUUUUAUGGAAGUGGACAGUAUGCAUAGUGCGAUCGAAAGGUAAAAGAGGCAUGUUAGUGUGAAUUCUGUAUUGGAGUGGAUGAACAUAAUGCAAAAGGCCAGAUCGAAUAGGAAUAGAAAAACAGCCAAUCCCUAUCAUGUAAGUCAAUUAAAAUUUUCUGAUAUUCUUGACCUCAAAGACCUUAGUAAUCGCAUGAUUAAAAAUCGCCUUAAAGAUGAUGAUGGCAACAUAGUCAAAUCAAAUGUCUACGCUGCGAAAAACAAAGCCCAGGGAUAAUAAAGUUUCGUUAUAGCCAUAAUGGAUUAGGAUCUGUACUGUAGGCAGUACUUUAAAUGUUUUUAAGCGAGGUCGUCAAAAUAAAAUUGCAGAUAUUAAAAAAGCUUAUAAAGAAAUUCUUCCCAUUAGUGUUCCUAAAAAGCAAGAUGUAUUAAAUUAUUUAUCUAUAAAACUGUGUCAGAAAAAUAUUAUACCAGAAGAACUUCACUUAUGGUAUCAGUCACUACCAACUGCCACCAACGUAAAAGACCACACUGUGGAACCUGAGCAAAAUGAGGAUGAAAGUGAAGAAGAAGGUUAGAAGUAGGAAAAAGUGGCUAAAUUGUCGACUAAGCCUCGAUAAGCCUGAUUUACAAUUAGGCAUUACACUUGCAUUGAUUGCAUGUGAUUUUCAUUUAUUUAUGUGAUUUUGUAUCUUUUUUAUUGACUUGUAACUGGUCCAAUAAAGUAACUAAUUACUGGUUCACUUUAGUUUUUUUAUUGCUAAAAGUCACUAAUUGGGUUUUUCUUUGGUUUUUAUUAUACUUUCUGGAAAAAAAGUAGCAUUUUGAGAGUUAAAUUCAAAUGUACAUUUAAAUAGGAAAACGUUGAA